GGCCUCCCAAUGCUUACCACAGGCUGUGUUUUUUAUACUGACUGUAUAGAAAGAGGAGGUACAGUAAAUGCACCCCAUAUACAUCUCAACCCAGGCUUUUUUCCUGAUCUGUAUUGUGAAUGGGGGACAAAA